rnacentral:rRNA from 1 species
UYUAUUUGCUAAUAUAAAAAGUCUAACCUGCCCACUGAUAGUUAUAAAUUUAAGGGCCGCGGUAUUAUGACUGUGCAAAGGUAGCAUAAUCAUUAGGUUUUUAAAUGGAAUCUUGUAUGAAUGGUUGGACAAGAGAGAAACUGUCUUUGUAUUAGAUUUGAAUUUAACUUUUAAGUGAGAAGGCUUAAAUAACCUAGGGGGACGAUAAGACCCUAUAAAAUUUUACAUUAUAAUUAUAUUUUAUAGAAUUUAAAUAAUAAUAAGUUAUUUAAUUAUUUUGUUUUGUUGGGGCGACAAGAGUAAAAAUUAUACUAACUGCUUUGUAUGAAACCAAUUAUAAGUGAGUAUCAAAACAAUGAUCCUAAUUAUUGAUUUUAAGAUUAAGUUACUUUAGGGAUAACAGUGUUAUUUUUUUUGAGAGUUCAUAUCGAAAAAAAAGUUUGCAACCUCGAUGUUGAAUUAAAAUAUCUAUAUAAUGUAGCUGUUAUAUAAGAAGGUCUGUUCGACCUUU